rnacentral:lncRNA from 1 species
GUGAGGGGAGUUCCUUACUGAGACCUAGACAACCAGGUGAGGAGAGUUCCUUACUGAGACCUAGACAACCAGGUGAGGAGAGUUCCUUACUGAGACCUAGACAACCAGGUGAGGAGAGUUCCUUACUGAGACCUAGACAACCAGGUGAGGGGAGUUCCUUACUGAGACCUGGACAACCAGGUGAGGAGAGUUCCUUACUGAGACCUGGACAACCAGGUGAGGGGAGUUCCUUACUGAGACCUAGACAACCAGGUGAGGAGAGUUCCUUACUGAGACCUAGACAACCAGGUGAGGGUAGUUCCUUACUAAUUA